GACGAACGCUGGCGGCGUGCUUAACACAUGCAAGUCGAGCGAGGCUCCUCCUUCGGGAGGAUGUCCUAGCGGCGAACGGGUGAGUAACACGUGGGCAACCUGCCCCUAGCUCUGGGAUAACCCCGGGAAACCGGGGCUAAUACCGGAUAUGACUUCGGAAGGCAUCUUCUGAAGUGGAAAAGGUUUACUGGCUAGGGAUGGGCCCGCGGCCUAUCAGCUUGUUGGUGGGGUGAAGGCCUACCAAGGCGACGACGGGUAGCCGGCCUGAGAGGGCGACCGGCCACACUGGGACUGAGACACGGCCCAGACUCCUACGGGAGGCAGCAGUGGGGAAUAUUGCACAAUGGGCGAAAGCCUGAUGCAGCGACGCCGCGUGAGGGAUGACGGCCUUCGGGUUGUAAACCUCUUUCAGCUCCGACGAAGCGAAAGUGACGGUAGGAGCAGAAGAAGCACCGGCCAACUACGUGCCAGCAGCCGCGGUAAAAC
rnacentral:rRNA from 1 species